UACGUAGGUCCCGGGCGUUGUCCGGAUUUAUUGGGCGUAAAGCGAGCGCAGGUGGUUUAUUAAGUCUGGUGUAAAAGGCAGUGGCUCAACCAUUGUAUGCAUUGGAAACUGGUAGACUUGAGUGCAGGAGAGGAGAGUGGAAUUCCAUGUGUAGCGGUGAAAUGCGUGGAUAUAUGGAGGAACACCGGUGGCGAAAGCGGCUCUCUGGCCUGUAACUGACACUGAGGCUCGAAAGCGUGGGGAGCAAACAGG
rnacentral:rRNA from 1 species